rnacentral:ncRNA from 2 species
AGGAGGCCCGGGCCGACGCAAGCGCGACGGUCCUCGGGGUGAAGCCGAAGGCGCUCCCAACGGAGCGACACGGCCGGGCGACCUCUUCAGCCCGAACCCGACAGCUGACCUCGUAGGUGCGUACGGAGAGGAACA